UACGGGGGGGGCAAGCGUUGUUCGGAAUUACUGGGCGUAAAGGGCUCGUAGGCGGCCAACUAAGUCAUACGUGAAAUCCCUCGGCUUAACCGGGGAACUGCGUCUGAUACUGGAUGGCUUGAGUUCGGGAGAGGGAUGCGGAAUUCCAGGUGUAGCGGUGAAAUUCGUAGAUAUUCGCAAGAACACCAGUGGCGAAGGCGGCUCACUGGCCCGGUACUGACGCUGAGGUGCGAAAGCGUGGGGAGCAAACAGG
rnacentral:rRNA from 1 species